rnacentral:rRNA from 1 species
CUUACCAUGCAAGUCGAACGAUGAUCUCCAGCUUGCUGGGGGGAUUAGUGGCGAACGGGUGAGUAACACGUGAGUAACCUGCCCUUGACUCUGGGAUAAGCCUGGGAAACUGGGUCUAAUACCGGAUACGACCGCUCCACGCAUGUGGUGGUGGUGGAAAGCUUUUGCGGUUUUGGAUGGACUCGCGGCCUAUCAGCUUGUUGGUGGGGUAAUGGCCUACCAAGGCGACGACGGGUAGCCGGCCUGAGAGGGUGACCGGCCACACUGGGACUGAGACACGGCCCAGACUCCUACGGGAGGCAGCAGUGGGGAAUAUUGCACAAUGGGCGAAAGCCUGAUGCAGCGACGCCGCGUGAGGGAUGACGGCCUUCGGGUUGUAAACCUCUUUCAGUAGGGAAGAAGCGAAAGUGACGGUACCUGCAGAAGAAGCGCCGGCUAACUACGUGCCAGCAGCCGCGGUAAUACGUAGGGCGCAAGCGUUAUCCGGAAUUAUUGGGCGUAAAGAGCUCGUAGGCGGUUUGUCGCGUCUGCUGUGAAAGACCGGGGCUCAACUCCGGUUCUGCAGUGGGUACGGGCAGACUAGAGUGAUGUAGGGGAGACUGGAAUUCCUGGUGUAGCGGUGAAAUGCGCAGAUAUCAGGAGGAACACCGAUGGCGAAGGCAGGUCUCUGGGCAUUAACUGACGCUGAGGAGCGAAAGCAUGGGGAGCGAACAGGAUUAGAUACCCUGGUAGUCCAUGCCGUAAACGUUGGGCACUAUGUGUGGGGGACAUUCCACGUUUUCCGCGCCGUAGCUAACGCAUUAA